UACGUAGGGUGCGAGCGUUGUCCGGAAUUAUUGGGCGUAAAGGGCUCGUAGGCGGUUUGUCGCGUCGGGAGUGAAAUCCACUGGCUUAACUGGUGGCUUGCUUUCGAUACGGGCAGACUGGAGGUAUGCAGGGGAGAACGGAAUUCCUGGUGUAGCGGUGAAAUGCGCAGAUAUCAGGAGGAACACCGGUGGCGAAGGCGGGUCUCUGGGCAACAGCUGACGCUGAGGAGCGAAAGCGUGGGGAGCGAACAGG
rnacentral:rRNA from 1 species